rnacentral:rRNA from 1 species
AUCCGAAUUGUAAUCUAUAGAAAAGUUUUCCGCGCUGGACCGUGUCUAAGUCCCUUGGAACAGGGUGUCAGAGAGGGUGAGAAUCCCGUGCUUGAUACGACCACCAGUGCUAUGUGAUACUUUUUCAACGAGUCGAGUUGUUUGGGAAUGCAGCUCAAAAUGGGUGGUAAAUUCCAUCUAAAGCUAAAUAUUGGCGAGAGACCGAUAGCGAACAAGUACCGUGAGGGAAAGAUGAAAAGCACUUUGGAAAGAGAGUUAAACAGUACGUGAAAUUGUUAAAAGGGAAACGAUUGAAGUCAGUCGUGCUCUCUAGGACUCAGCCAGUUCUUCUGGUGUAUUUCCUAGUGAGCGGGUCAACAUCAGUUUAGAUCGCUGGAUAAGGUCAUUAGGAAUGUGGCUCCCUCGGGAGUGUUAUAGCCUAGUGUCGCAUACAGUGGUUUAGACUGAGGAACGCAGCUCGCCUUUAUG